GUGAAAUGCAGAGACAGUGCAGUCACCUUGGGAAUCCUAGGUAGUUUGUCCUGAGAAGCCACUGUGAAAUACCUCUAGAACAAUUUCAAGUAAUUAUGCCAGCCCAGAUGCAGGAAAAACUCGUUAGAUGGCUGUCUCCUGAAGGCAUCAAGCUCAUGACCUCACAGCCAAAUUUUAGCCUCAAUCAUAAGAAGAGUAGGUUUUAUUAAGUAUCAGUAUAUUCCUUAUUCAGAGUUGUUCUGAUUCUAAAGCGAUCCUUCACUGCUCUGCAGUGUUUUGAAUGCAUCCCCACAGGCUUUCAGGAGAAGCUAUUCCAGAUGCACCUUUGAACGAUGUAUGAAAACGUGGUCAGUGCAUCUAAGGCUCAGCAGUUUGCUGCGUAAGCUGCUCUCAUUUAAUGGAUCAUAGUAUGCACCAAGUGUCUAUAUUAAUCUUUCUUGCUUUAUAAGAUUACAAUUUUAGUGAUUUAUUUUCAUAGCAUAUGUCUGUUAUUGUUUUCUCACUUUUCACAGGUCCAUCAAGUUUCCUUCAGACGUGAUUAGAAACACUGCACUUUGCCCUUAAAUUAUGGAUACACUCAAGUGCAGCUGUACUGCAAAGUAGUUUUUUAGUUAGAGACAGCUGCAAUAUAAAUGUCUAAAAAACCAUUGUGAUUCAAAUUCACACACAGAUCAAAAUAACAAAAAUAUGAAUGUCUAAAAUAUCAUCAGAAAGCAUAUUCAUACACAAGAAGAAAAAAAUAAAGAAGUCUAAUCAAAAGGUAUUCAAAGCAAUGAGUUUCAAAUAGACUUUAAAAUAUUUUGUUUCACCAUUGGUGACAGUCUUAAUUUUCUAAAUCAAUAUGAAGACAGCGGAGAUUUUUCUGUUAUUAGAAUAAAACAAACCCCUUCCGUGUAGAAAAGCCUUUCUGAAUACAGGAAAGUUAGCAGCUGGUAGGGUUAGUAAAGUAUAUAUACAUAUGUUAUUUGGUAAUACAUAUAUGUGUGGGAAUUGCUGAGUCUUGGCCUGAACCACUGAUUGAUCACCUGGGAAAGGACCGGGUCAGUCCUCAGAGCACAGGUGAAGGCAAUUCAGCUGUGUGACUGGAAGGGGUGGAGCCUGGCUGCACCUCUCUUAGACCCCAUUUAAGGGCUGACUGACAAGGGGGAAGAGAUUUCUGGAGAUCUCUCCUUUUGGAGUUUUCUACUACAAGCCUAGGAUGGGGUGCCUUCAUCUAUGAAAAGGGGACAAAGGUACUUAUCGCCAGUGGAAAGAGCUUUGAAUUGUAAAGACAGAAAAUGGUAUGCAAGAGGCACAAAACAGGAACUGUCCUUUAAAUGGGAUCAGCCUGGAAAAGAGAAGGCUCUGAGAAAAUGUAACCAGCAGGCAACCUUUCAGAAAUGUCUCAAGACUGUGAAGAAUGAGAUAUUUCGUGACUACAAUGAGGUCUCUUUACUGU